GGUUGUCUUUAAAUCAAGAACUUUUUAAGAAAAAUAAAAUUUUAUGGUUCUUUAUAAUAUUUUAACAUUUUUUUGAUGCUCUGAUGGGAAUUAGACAUCAAAAAUUAAUUUUUUUCAUUUAAAACUCUACCCAUUUUGUGCAUUACAGAGAGUCUAAAAAACCUAGCAUCUGGGGGUAACAUUAUUUUUCAAGGGGGGGGGGUGCAUUUUAUUUUAUUAAAUAAAUAAUUAUAGGCAAAUACCUUUUCUAGUUUCAGACAAUAUGGAUGAGAAUAGAAAUUUAGAAGGAAGAGGACUAAAGGAAACCACUAAGUAUCUUGGGAGAAGAUUUUGUGAAAAGAUGUCUGCUCAUGGGUUUGCAAAGAUAAUAGAUGUUGAUUUAGGUGAGAUAACAAUUGGCAUAUUAAUUUAAAAUCUUGUUCUUAAUCUCAUUUGUUUAGGAAAAUUUGCAAAUUUUGUCUGGUUUAUGAUAACUACAAUCUUCUUGACAUGUCUGAUAAUUAAUCUGUUCCCAAAAGUUUUGGUAAUCAUUAAACUGAUCCAAUAUACAGGGUGUCUUGGAAAAAGGAAUAAAUUGCGCAUUUUCAAAGAUAAAAUGAUGGGUUUUUGAAAAGAUAUGACAAAUGAUGUUUGAGUUUUUUUAAAUCUAAGGAAAAGGGACCUAGUACAUUGCAAGGUACAGUUUGGCAUUUUGGAUCAAAAUGUUUUAUCAACAACCGCUAAUUUAUGGACAUAUUAUCUGGUAGAAACACUUGUAAAUACAACAAAAUGACGCUUAGUGGGUGAAAACGCUAUUGAAAAUAUUCGGAACAGGGAAAAAGAACAUUUUCGAAUAUUAAGCAUACUUUAGAAGGAUAAAACGACAUUUUAGAGCAACACGUUUCUUUUCGUUUCAGAGCAUUAUACCAACUAGAGGCAUUUGUAAGUUCAAAAAAUGAUGUUCAAUAGGCGAAAAAGCUUAAACUCAAUUUUUUCAGAGAAACCCUGUAUAUUAUCUAAAUGUUCUAUUGAAAGUUGAUAUCACAAAGUAUAAAAAAGCCUGCAUGAUUGACUAAAAUUAAAGAAUGUUGUGUUACUAGUUAUUUGUAAGACAAGAAUCCCAGACAAGUCUAACUACUCAAGAGAAGAUCGAUGAAGGAAAGGGAUACAAGUUUCCAGUGGUGAUGAUUUGUGACCCUGCUCCAUGGAACAUAAAAAGGAAAUAUUCCUCUCCAAUUUAAUAUUGAUUUAUCUUUAGGAAAAUGUAUACCAUUUCUAUUUUUCUAGCAGUGAAAAUCCCUAUUUGGAAUAUGCCUCUCCUUCUGGGCUAAAUUAUAAAAGGAUUGAAUAUUUAAGAUCUAAAGCAAGUGGAAUUGAAAAAGAAUUGCUCUCUUUCAUAUCUUAUUUGUUAUACUUUUUAUCAACCACACAAAGCAUAAGCAACCAAAAACUUAACAAACUUAAAGGGGAGUACCAAGAAAAAUUGUCUGAAUUUAAUAACAGCUCAUUAGAUUUACUUGAUCGUAUUACAAACAACUGCUCUGAAACAAUAAAAAGUUGUGAAUUUAGUUUUGGACAAACGGUAUAAACAAUUUUUUUCAAACAGCAAGUGCUUCAUAACAAGUUUAAAUUUAAGGUUGGCGGUGAACAAUGUUGCCAGGAUUACUUAGAAACACGGUAAAUACACCAAUUUCCAAUAAGGGAUCAAAAUAAUAAUAAAAUAUUUUGUUUAGGGUCUAUGUCCUGGGUGCUAAGUGCUUUAGGGAAUAAAUUAUAAGUAUUGCUAAAAUGGUCCUAUGUACAAAAUUUUCUUAUGCAAUGAAUACAUUCAUUUAGUUUUAAUAUUUCUUAAAUUCUUAGCAGAAGCUUCCAACAUGGAAUAUCAAAAAUAGCAAUUUGCUUCUAAUUUUCACAUAACCUACCCAAUUAAUAUAUCUCUGUCUAUGCAUUCUAUAAUUAGUAAAUUUACUUCUAGAACCAAAAAAGAAUUUUAUGGAUCUAACUUUGGAUUAAGAAAUGGCAUCAACUUCAGGUAACUCACUUAGCAAUAUCAUAAUUUUAACUUUUACAUUGACUGAGGUUUAAAACAUAUUUUGUUCAAUUAUGAUUCAGAUUAGAGAUUAGCACAGAUGGUGGACAAGUCCUAGAUAAAAACAUUGCUAGUACUGAAGCUUACAAUGCAUUUGGUUCUCAAAUGUCUGUAUUCAACUCCAGAGCAGUGCCAGAGUAUGCAUUUGAAAAACAAAUAACUGCUCUAGGACUCAACACAACAAACAAUCAAGCUAUAACCAAAACAGUGCUAAACAGGACAGAAGAAUUUCUCUUCCUUGGAUUCCUUAAAAAUGGGAACUGUACCAAUUUCAGGCCAUUUUUGCAAAAAGCGAUACAUAAAAUUUUCUAGAAAAGCUCUAAAUUCAAGAAAAGAAUAAAAUGUGUACUAAAAUAAAGAUUUUCGGUUGAAGACACUAGGUAACUUUAAGAAGGAAUGAACACUAAACCCUUAAGUAAUGCCUGAUUAUCUGUACAAAAGAGUGUGUGUGUACUGUAGGUACAAAAGAGGAAAAUUAAAUCUAGAUAUUUGUGCUUUUCAGUCCAGGAAGAUACUGGCCAUGUUUAUUGUAAGUUUAAGGAAGGUUUUUCUAAGAUUAUAUUUACCCUACGUAUAACCCCACUUAAGAGUAUGCUACACCUGUUUGGAACCCUUGGAGUAUAGGGGACUGUGAAAGCCUUGAAAAAGUUCAAAAAACGCAAUUAAUAUGAUCUCAGGAUUGUCAGGAACCACAUAUAAGGAUAAGCUUCUUGAACUAGGCAUCCAAUCCUUAUCUGAUAGAAGAUUAUGUUUCAAUUUAAUUCAGACUUACAAGAUUAUCCAUGGAAAAGAAAAUGUAAAGCUAAACACCUGGCUCCAGUUGGUUGACCCAAUAAUAACCAUCACAACCAGACAAUCAGUAUUUUACCUAAAUAUCCAACCAAAAAGAUCCAACUUAGAAAUAAGGAACAAAUUCUUCAGUAACUGUGUAGUCGAAACCUGGAACAAGCUACCAAAUAACAUCAAAGAUGCUCCACACCAGAAGCUUUUCAUCAAAUCUCUUUAUGACAAAACCUAGAUGGAGAUGUAGAAAAUUAUAAAUCAGAGAACUCCGCUAAACUUCUACUUGAAGUACCCUGGAGUCACAAACACAAACUUAUAUUCAAGUACAUCGGCUAAGUGCAUUGUUAAGGAUUUGAAAAAAAUAUAGAAUAAAGUCGCUGGUUUUUUUUCAGUGGGACCAGUAUCAUUUACCUUCCCUUAAAUCUUAUUCCCUGACUAUUAAAAGAGUAACAGCCAUUUUGCCAUAUUACAAAGUAUCUAGAGAGGAUGAAUGUAACUGGAAUACACUGAAAAGAAACACUGCCUCAAUUUACAACUGCACAACAAACUUGUUAGAGGGUACUUGCUCCCCAGAGGAGAUUAUCAAAGGAGCUAAACUUAUUUUCUCAAGGAAAGAUGAACAAAGGCUUAUUCUAUAAAAUAAAGCUCUUUGCUCAAAUACAUAUAUUUGUAUAUAUUUUGUAUAUAUAUAUGUUAGCUAAAGCUGGCCAAAUGACUGGACCGACUUGGCUGAUUUUUUUUAGAAAACCCACGGAUACCCUUGGGGCAACAUAGGCUAAAUAAUCGAAUUUUUUUCGUCAAAAAUCUAUUUUUAUAAAUCAAUUUUUUAAAUUCCACAGGCCUCCAGCUAGUUUUACAUUGAUUGGUCAACACCUUUAGCAGGAUAAACACACUUAAAGGGACUUUGACAAAAACAAAACUAAAAAUCACAUAAAUUAUCUUUACAGCUCACAAAAUGUUCUAUAAAUUUGGAUCAGAUUGAAAUUAUCCCAAGUUCAUCAAUCCAAAGCACAAACAUUUCCUGGGAUUACUGUAAUUACGACUGUGUACAAAUUGGUUACCAAAUUGAAAGCAACCAAGUUCUAAUGACUCCAGAAUAUGUUGAAAAGGUCUACAAUCCAGCGGAAGGAAAAAGUAUCAUUGUUUUGAACUUGUACUAUUCAGAGAGCUUAUACAAAAAGAUUGAUGUAAAGGGAAAGGGAUUGGGAGAUUUAAUGUCAGAAAUAGGAGGGAGUCUAGGUAUAUUUCUAGGAGCUUCUCUUAUCACAGUUGUGGAGUUUAUAACCUUUUCUUUUUAUGCUUGUUCAGUUCUUUUCAAACUUAUGAAGUAUAGCAUGCAGAAUUAACUUGUUUGUUUUUCAAUUUAUUUUUAAGAUCACAGUCUCCUUCACAUUUGUAAUGUGAUUAUCAAAAACAUAAUUGUCAAAUCUUGAUGUGCAAAUAUAUAUCCUUAAAUGUG